rnacentral:rRNA from 1 species
ACGGAAGGCAGCAGUGGGGAAUAUUGGACAAUGGGGGAAACCCUGAUCCAGCGACGCCGCGUGAGUGAAGAAGUAUUUCGGUAUGUAAAGCUCUAUCAGCAAGGAAGAAAAUGACGGUACCUGACUAAGAAGCUCCGGCUAAAUACGUGCCAGCAGCCGCGGUAAUACGUAUGGAGCAAGCGUUAUCCGGAUUUACUGGGUGUAAAGGGAGCGUAGGCGGCACGGCAAGCCAGAAGUGAAAUGCCGGGGCUCAACCCCAGAACUGCUUUUGGAACUGUCGAGCUAGAUUGCAGGAGAGGUAAGUGGAAUUCCUAGUGUAGCGGUGAAAUGCGUAGAUAUUAGGAGGAACACCAGUGGCGAAGGCGGCUUACUGGACUGUAAAUGACGCUGAGGCUCGAAAGCGUGGGGAGCAAACAGGAUUAGAUACCCUGGUA